rnacentral:rRNA from 1 species
UGGUCUCAAAUCAGGUAGGACUACCCGCUGAACUUAAGCAUAUCAAUAAGCGGAGGAAAAGAAACUAACAAGGAUUCCCUUAGUAACGGCGAGUGAACCGGGAAAAGCUCAAAUUUGUAAUCUGGCUGUCUUCGAUAGUCCGAGUUGUAAUCUAUAGACGUGUUUUCCGCGCUGGAUCGUAUCUAAGUCCCUUGGAACAGGGUAUCAAAGAGGGUGACAAUCCCGUGCUUGAUACGACCACCAGUGCUCUGUGAUACACGUUCUACGAGUCGAGUUGUUUGGGAAUGCAGCUCAAAAUGGGUGGUAAAUUCCAUCUAAAGCUAAAUAUUGGCGAGAGACCGAUAGCGAACAAGUACCGUGAGGGAAAGAUGAAAAGCACUUUGGAAAGAGAGUUAAAUAGUACGUGAAAUUGUUGAAAGGGAAACGAUUGAAGUCAGUCGUGUUCUUCAGAUUCAGCUGGUUCUUCCAGUCUACUUCUGUUGAACGGGUCAACAUCAGUUUCGUCCGGUGGAUAAAGAUAGUAGGAAUGUAGCUCCCUCGGGAGUGUUAUAGCCUAUUGUUGCAUACACUGGGUGAGACUGAGGACUGCAGCUCGCCUUUUGGCCGGUCUUCGGACACGUUCGAGCUUAGGAUGUUGACAUAAUGGCUUUAAACGACCCGUCUUGAAACACG